rnacentral:misc_RNA from 1 species
AACCUUAAAAGUUCAAAUUUUCUUUUCAGUGAAAUAGCAUAUUUCAUAUUGGCAUAGCAAAUUUGCAUUAUUUCAUCUCCAUGGCAUCCUACACAAGUCAUGAGGAGAAGGAUUUUGAAAAGUUCCUGCAGUGCAAGGGAGCAGCUCUAGUCCUGCUAAAUGUACCUGUUCAUACUGAAAUAGGCAUAGACAUGCACAGCUGGACUAUUGGGCCCAAAUUCAAGGGCAUCAAUUUGAUCCCACCUGGACUUCACUUCAUCAACUAUAGUGCUGUGAGCAAAUAUGGUGAGACAGCCCCUGCCACUGGCUUCUUCCACUACUUUGAACCCAAUGAUGUUCUUGUCAAAGUGUACCAGCCUGCUACUGAAGAAUUCAAAGAUGAGUCACCAGAGCAAACAGAACGAGUGAAAAUAAACCUUCAGAGCUUAAGAGGAGAGCUUGGACCUUAUCCUUCGGAGCUGUGGAGGCGAUGGGUCUCUCUCACUCAGAAGAUUGACAGACGGCACCUGGAAUCAGUUUUACCUCUUUCUGGCAUGGUUUCAUCUGUGCCUGCAAUGGUUCCUGUGGACGAUCCCAAUAGCAGCAGCACCAGCAAUAGUGAUGCUAGAAAACGUCUGAAAACCCAUCAAUCAAACUGUGGAAAUGAAGCCUCAACUUCGAGUAGUAUGGAAGACAGUUCACCAUCACAACAAAACAAUGCAAAUAAUAGCACUCUACCUCUCCAAACUAAUAAAAUAACUACAACAAUGAGUAUUGAUGAAGGUAAAGUUCCCCAAUCAGUAUGCAAUGACAGUUGUUCCUCUCAAAGAACCUUUAACAAAUCAUCAACACCAUCAACUAUUAUUGAAGAUAUGGAACAAUGUACUUCUAAAAGCCAAAUAACAGAACUUAAUGUUGCUAAAAUGGUUCAAAAUCCAUCUCAUAAUGAGUUAUGCUCUGGUCAAGAAAAGCAAAUGAGGUCCACUGCUAAGCGACUUAUUAAUGAGGGUUUGCCUGAGCUGGUGCCAGUAGCGGGGCUGGACUUCAGGUGGUACGAGCUUCCUGAGCGCACACACAAGGCAGGCGCCACACCUGCUUACAUAACUGCGGUCUGCAUUGACCCAACACCAAUACUGGACGACUUGAUCAGGCAUCUCGGCAACGAGCAGUGGUUGCUGAGUGAGCUGCAGCUGAGCUUUGUGGUGUUCCUGGUGGGCCAGAGCUGGGCGGGCUGGGAGCGCUGGAAGCGUCUCAUCGGUCUGCUCUGUAGCGCAGAGACUCUCAUGCUCAGAGCACCGCAUAUCUACUCAGACCUCAUGGCUACUCUGCACUACCAGAUACAUGAGGUGCCAGAAGAUCUUUUUGUUGACAUCGUGGAGCAGAACAACUUCCUCGCCGCGUCCCUGGCUCAGCUUUUCUUCAACAUUGAAGACAACGUCGCUAGUCUGCCUGCCCUGCUGGUCCAGCGAGCCCAGAAGUUCAGGACGCAUCUCAAGCUGCGCUUUGGCUGGAGUUUUGAUUUUGAUGAUAGUGAUGAAGAUGCCCCUGUAGUGGUGGAACUCGAGCAGUGGUGAUGAUAGUGAUGAAGAUGGUCCUGUAGUGGUGGAACUUGAGCAGUGGUGAUGAUAGUGAUGAAGAUGCCCCUGUAGUGGUGGAACUUGAGCAGUGGUGAUGAUAGUGAUGAUGAUGCCCCUGUAGUUGUGGAGCUCGAGCAGUGGUGAUGAUAGUGAUGAAGAUGAAAGUGAUGAUGAUGAUAGUG